rnacentral:rRNA from 1 species
GAUGAACGCUGGCGGCGUGCUUAACACAUGCAAGUCGAACGAUGAAGCCCAGCUUGCUGGGUGGAUUAGUGGCGAACGGGUGAGUAACACGUGAGUAACCUGCCCUUAACUCUGGGAUAAGCCUGGGAAACUGGGUCUAAUACCGGAUAGGAGCGUCCACCGCAUGGUGGGUGUUGGAAAGAUUUAUCGGUUUUGGAUGGACUCGCGGCCUAUCAGCUUGUUGGUGAGGUAAUGGCUCACCAAGGCGACGACGGGUAGCCGGCCUGAGAGGGUGACCGGCCACACUGGGACUGAGACACGGCCCAGACUCCUACGGGAGGCAGCAGUGGGGAAUAUUGCACAAUGGGCGCAAGCCUGAUGCAGCGACGCCGCGAGAGGGAUGACGGCCUUCGGGUUGUAAACCUCUUUCAGUAGGGAAGAAGCGAAAGUGACGGUACCUGCAGAAGAAGCACCGGCUAACUACGUG